AAGUCGUAACAAGGUUUCCGUAGGUGAACCUGCGGAAGGAUCAUUCACAAUGAGUGUUUAAUGGCACUUCAAAUCCAUUACCCACCUUGUGUGCAUUGUCGGAGAAAACCCUCAAACUCUCUCGAGAGGAAGAGGGUUUUCUUUCAUACAUACUCUGUUCUUUCAGUAUCAGUCUACUUCAAUUGAGUAAUUAAAACUCGAAUACAACUUUCAACAACGGAUCUCUUGGCUCUC
rnacentral:misc_RNA from 1 species